GACGGAGGAUGCAAACGUUAUCCGGAAUUAUUGGGCGUAAAGCGUCCGCAGGUGGCUGUUCAAGUCUGCUGUCAAAGCGCAGAGCUUAACUCUGUACAGGCGGUGGAAACUGAAGAGCUAGAGUAUGGUAGGGGUAGAGGGAAUUCCCGGUGUAGCGGUGAAAUGCGUAGAUAUCGGGAAGAACACCAGUGGCGAAGGCGGUUCUCUGGGCAUGUCCU
rnacentral:rRNA from 1 species